rnacentral:rRNA from 1 species
UACGGGGGGGCAAGCGUUGUUCGGAAUUACUGGGCGUAAAGGCUCGUAGGUGGCCAACUAAGUCGGACGUGAAAUCCCUCGGCUUAACCGGGAACGUGCGUCCGAUACUGGUUGGCUUGAGUUUGGGAGAGGGAUGCGGAAUUCCGAGGUGUAGCGGUGAAAUGCGGUAGAUAUCUGGAGGAACACCGGUGGCGAAGGCGGGCAUCCUGGACCAUACUGACGCGUGAGGAGCGAAAGCGUGGGAGCGAACAG